CUAAUCUCACUCCCCAUUCUUGUUCCUGCUUCUAAGGAAGAAGAGGCAAGAUGACUCUGAGAGUCAGAGAGAGGAUUGGUCUCUUACAGAGCCACCUGUUUGGGACCAGACCCUCAAGGGUCUCUAGCAGUGCUGCUCUCAGAAGUGGGAGGAUGUUGAUGAGAUCAUUCACACCUCAGAGAUGAGUUCACAGGAAGAUCUCACCACAAAACUAAGCAAACAACCUGUGUCUCCUUACUCCUAGUCUGGCUUCUUCUACUCAUAGAAGCAGCUGAUUGGUACAAAAAAGUUCAACCUCUCUUUCUCUAGCUUUAAGGAAUAUAAUAGUAUCUGCCUGAAGAAAAUAGAUGCUUCCAGGGACUGGAUGGUGUCACAGCUGGUUGAACAAACAUUUUACAAUGCACAGGACCCAGGUUUGAGGCCCCA